rnacentral:rRNA from 1 species
ACUGCUCAGUAACACGUAGUCAAUAUGCCCAGGGGACGUGGAUAACCUCGGGAAACUGAGGAUAAACCGCGAUAGGCCAAGAUUUCUGGAAUGAAUCAUGGUUUAAAUCUAUAUGGCCCCUGGAUUGGACUGCGGCCGAUCAGGCUGUUGGUGAGGUAAUGGCCCACCAAACCUGUAACCGGUACGGGCUCUGAGAGGAGGAGCCCGGAGAUGGGCACUUAGACAAGGGCCCAGGCCCUAUGGGGCGCAGCAGGCGCGAAACCUCUGCAAUAAGCGAAAGCUUGACAGGGUUACUCUGAGUGAUUUCCGCUAAGGAAGUCUUUUGGCACCUCUAAAAAUGGUGCAGAAUAAGGGGUGGGCAAGUCUGGUGUCAGCCGCCGCGGUAAUACCAGCACCCCGAGUGGUCGGGACGAUUAUUGGGCCUAAAGCAUCCGUAGCCGGUCCUGCAAGUCCUCCGUUAAAUCCACCCGCUCAACGGUUGGGCCGCGGGGGAUACUACAGGGCUAGGAGGCGGGAGAGGCAAGCGGUACUCGAUGGGUAGGGGUAAAAUCCACUGAUCCAUUGAAGACCACCAGUGGCGAAGGCGGCUUGCCAGAACGCGCUCGACGGUGAGGGAUGAAAGCUGGGGGAGCAAACCGGAUUAGAUACCCGGGUAGUCCCAGCUGUAAACGAUGCAGACUCGGUGAUGGGCUGGCUUCGUGCCAACCCGGUGCCGCAGGGAAGCCGUUAAGUCUGCCGCCUGGGGAGUACGGUCGCAAGACUGAAACUUAAAGGAAUUGGCGGGGGAGCA